rnacentral:rRNA from 1 species
UCUUGACAUCCAGAGAACUUWGCAGAGAUGSUUUGGUGCCUUCGGGAACUYUGAGACAGGUGCUGCAUGGCUGUCGUCAGCUCGUGUUGUGAAAUGUUGGGUUAAGUCCCGCAACGAGCGCAACCCUUAUCCUUUGUUGCCAGCGGUUAGSCCGGGAACUCAAAGGAGACUGCCAGUGAUAAACUGGAGGAAGGUGGGGAUGACGUCAAGUCAUCAUGGCCCUUACGAGUAGGGCUACACACGUGCUACAAUGGCGCAUACAAAGAGAAGCGACCUCGCGAGAGCAAGCGGACCUCAUAAAGUGCGUCGUAGUCCGGAUUGGAGUCUGCAACUCGACUCC